GAUGAACGCUGGCGGCGUGCCUAAUACAUGCAAGUCGAGCGAACGGACGAGAAGCUUGCUUUUCUGAUGUUAGCGGCGGACGGGUGAGUAACACGUGGAUAACCUACCUAUAAGACUGGGAUAACUUCGGGAAACCGGAGCUAAUACCGGAUAAUAUUUUGAACCGCAUGGUUCAAAAGUGAAAGACGGUCUUGCUGUCACUUAUAGAUGGAUCCGCGCUGCAUUAGCUAGUUGGUAAGGUAACGGCUUACCAAGGCAACGAUGCAUAGCCGACCUGAGAGGGUGAUCGGACACACUGGAACUGAGACACGGUCCAGACGACUACGGGAGGCAGCAGUAGGGAAUAUUACGCAAUGGGCGAAAGCAUGACGGAGCAACGCCGCGUGAGUGAUGAAGGUCUUCGGAUCGUAAAACUCUGUUAUUAGGGAAGAACAUAUGUGUAAGUAACUGUGCACAUCUUGACGGUACCUAAUCAGAAAGCAACGGCUAACUACGUG
rnacentral:rRNA from 1 species